GAUGAACGCUGGCGGCGUGCCUAAUACAUGCAAGUCGAGCGAACAGACGAGGAGCUUGCUUCUCUGACGUUAGCGGCGGACGGGUGAGUAACACGUGGAUAACCUACCUAUAAGACUGGGAUAACUUCGGGAAACCGGAGCUAAUACCGGAUAAUAUAUUGAACCGCAUGGUUCAAUAGUGAAAGACGGUUUUGCUGUCACUUAUAGAUGGAUCCGCGCCGCAUUAGCUAGUUGGUAAGGUAACGGCUUUCCAAGGCAACGAUGCGUAGCCGACCUGAGAGGGUGAUCGGCCGCACUGGGACUGAGACACGGUCCAGACUCCUACGGGAGGCAGCAGUAGGGAAUCUUCCGCAAUGGGCGAAAGCCUGACGGAGCAGCGCCGAGUGAGUGAUGAAGGUCUUCGGAUCGUAAAACUCUGUUAUUAGGGAAGAACAAAUGUGUAAGUAACUAUGCACGUCUUGACGGUACCUAAUCAGAAAGCCACGGCUAACUACGUG
rnacentral:rRNA from 1 species